rnacentral:tRNA from 5 species
GCCCACGUAGCUCAGUCGGUAGAGCGCGUCCUUGGUAAGGACGAGGUCAGCAGUUCAAUCCUGCUCGUGGGCUCCA